CAAAAGAAGAAAGCUGGCGUGGGAAGAGAGAAAGUUAGUUACGGCUGGUGGCAUUUUUCAUUUGAAAGCGCAGCUGCAGAUAGAGGAAACGGAAAAGGGUGCCAAAUCGGAAGCAGCGGCCUCACUGCGUCGCUGUGCAAAAGCUGCAUUGCUUCUCCAUAGCUUGAAUUCCCCAAUCUCCCAAAAUCAGUGGAAGAGGGAAAUCCAUGACCUGAAAAUUGAAUUGCUGAAGGAGCGUUUCAUGAGGAAGAAGAUGAAGCUCUGCGCUAUCACGGAGUUGUUCGUUCAGCUCCUCUUGUUGCUCUCCGUUUGUAACUUCGUCCUUCUCUAAUUUCUUUGAUAUUUUCCUCUGCGUUACGACUUCAGAGAGUGCUCUUCUUCCAUGCUAUGUUCUACUUCCGUUUACGCAGCUUUAAACUGCUUUAGCUCGUUGAUGACCGUAAACGAAUCAUUAGUCGUAAAAUCAAGCGUUUUCGUUUCUUCUCAAGAAUCACGGCAUUUGUACAUGUCAAUGGAUCAUGUCUUUGAAUUGAAUCGGGUUUUGAAUGUGUUGCUCUGAUUUUGAAUGUGAGUAAUGGGCGUUUGAUUUUUCGUCGUCGUUAAGUGAAUGGAAUGACGGAAAUUUUAGUUGUAUUGAUUAUUAUCACUGGAAGCCAGGUCGCUAGAAGUCUAGAACUUUGACGGUUGGGCCUGAUCAUUAUGAUUUGUGAUGUUUUUGUUGAA